rnacentral:rRNA from 1 species
UACGGAGGGGGUUAGCGUUGUUCGGAAUUACUGGGCGUAAAGCGCACGUAGGCGGCUUUGUAAGUUAGAGGUGAAAGCCUGGUGCUCAACACCAGAACUGCCUUUAAGACUGCAUCACUUGAAUCAUGGAGAGGCGGGUGGAAUUCCGAGUGUAGAGGUGAAAUUCGUAGAUAUUCGGAAGAACACCAGUGGCGAAGGCGGCCCGCUGGACAUGUAUUGACGCUGAGGUGCGAAAGCGUGGGGAG